rnacentral:rRNA from 1 species
AGCAGCCGCCACGGUAAUACGGAGGGGGCUAGCGUUGUUCGGAAUUACUGGGCGUAAAGCGCACGUAGGCGGCUUGGUAAGUUAGAGGUGAAAGCCUGGAGCUCAACUCCAGAAUUGCCUUUAAGACUGCCGAGCUAGCAGGUGAGAGAGGUAAGUGGAAUUCCGAGUGUAGAGGUGAAAUUCGUAGAUAUUCGGAAGAACACCAGUGGCGAAGGCGGCUUACUGGCUCAUACUGGACGCUGAGGUGCGAAAGCGUGGGGAGCAAACAGGAUUAGAUACCCGCGUAGUCCCUGUCUCUUAUAC